CCUACGGGAGACAGCAGUGAGGAAUAUUGGUCAAUGGGCGGAAGCCUGAACCAGCCAAGUAGCGUGCAGGAUGACUGCCCUACGGGUUGUAAACUUCUUUUAUACGGGAAUAACGCGCCUUACGUGUACGUCUUUGCAUGUACUUUAUGAAUAAGGACCGGCUAAUUCCGUGCCAGCAGCCGCGGUAAUACGGAAGGUCCGGGCGUUAUCCGGAUUUAUUGGGUUUAAAGGGAGCGUAGGCCGCAUGUCAAGCGUUUUGUGAAAUAUUCGGGCGCAACCCGAGACUUGCAGCGGAAACUGGCAGGCUUGAGUACAGGGAAGGUAGGCGGAAUUCGUGGUGUAGCGGUGAAAUGCUUAGAUAUGACGAAGAACCCCGAUUGCGAAGGCAGCUUGCUGAAGCGGCACUGACACUGAUGCUCGAAAGCGCGGGUAUCGAACAGGAUUAGAUACCCGGGUAGUC
rnacentral:rRNA from 1 species